GAGUUUGAUCGUGGCUCAGGACGAACGCUGGCGGCGUGCUUAACACAUGCAAGUCGAACGAGAAUCUACUGAAAGAGUUUUUCGGACAAUGGAAGUAGAGGAAAGUGGCGGACGGGUGAGUAACGCGUGAGGAACCUGCCUUGAAGAGGGGGACAACAGUUGGAAACGACUGCUAAUACCGCAUGAUGCAUAAGGGUCGCAUGAUUCUUAUGCCAAAGAUUUAUCGCUUCAAGAUGGCCUCGCGUCUGAUUAGCUAGUUGGCGGGGUAACGGCCCACCAAGGCGACGAUCAGUAGCCGGACUGAGAGGUUGAACGGCCACAUUGGGACUGAGAUACGGCCCAGACUCCUACGGGAGGCAGCAGUGGGGAAUAUUGGGCAAUGGGCGCAAGCCUGACCCAGCAACGCCGCGUGAAGGAAGAAGGCUUUCGGUAUGUAAACUUCUAUCAGCAGGAAGAAAAUAGACGGUACCUGACUAAGAACGCCCGGCUAACUACGUGCCAGC
rnacentral:rRNA from 1 species